rnacentral:rRNA from 1 species
UAGUCAUAUGCUUGUCUCAAAGAUUAAGCCAUGCAUGUCUCAGUGUAAACUUUUAAACAGUGAAACUGCGAAUGGCUCAUUAAAACAGUUAUAGUUUAUUUGAUAAUCACAUUUACAUGGAUAACCGUGGGAAUUCCAGGGCUAAUACAUGCGUACCCGCAAGGGUUGUGUUUAUUAGAAUAUAAACCAACACUGUAGCAAUACAGUAACGUUGGAAUGAUAAUAACCGAUCGAAUCGCACGCUUUUAGUGGCGAUAGAUCAUUCAAGUUUCUGAC